UACAGAGGGUGCAAGCGUUGUUCGGAAUUAUUGGGCGUAAAGGGAGUGUAGGCGGCUUGUUAAGUCUUCUGUGAAAUCUACGGGCUUAGCCUGUAACGUGCAGAGGAAACUGGCGAGCUUGAGUGUCGGAGAGGAUAGGGGAAUACCCGGUGUAGAGGUGAAAUUCGUAGAGAUCGGGUGGAACACCAGUGGCGAAGGCGCCUGUCUGGCUGACAACUGACGCUGAGACUCGAAAGCAUGGGGAGCAAACAGG
rnacentral:rRNA from 1 species